CUCCUUUAUAGUGUAGAGGUUAUCACACCGGAUUUUGAUAUGCGUUAUCAGAAGUCUUCCGGUAACCCAAGUUCGAAUCUUGGUAAGGGAUC